GAAGUGCGAUAAGCAAUGCGAAUUGCAGAAUUCCGCGAAUCAUCAGAUCUUUGAACGCAAAUGGCGCUGGAGGGAUAUCCUUCCAGCAUGUCUGUUUCAGUGUCUGAGAGGUUUCAUACUAAUCUUAAUGUGAUUGAUGGUUAGUAGUAGUAAUAGCUACCACUUCGGUAACUAAUACCACCACAUCAUCUCUCAUGAAAGAUGCGUGAGUGGAUCUUUCGGUCCAAUGAAGUGGUCACAUCACUCGUAUGUGAUUUCAUUGGGAAAUCACCGAAUUAUCCGCAUACUCACAGUAUCAUGCUUUUGUUGUUGUUGUUACACAAUAGCAACAAAAACAAAACUUCCAUACCCUGCAUCUGAGAUAGGCAAGAUCACCCGCUGAACUUAAGC
rnacentral:misc_RNA from 1 species